AGUGGCGGACGGGUGAGUAACGCGUGAGAAUCUGCCUUGGGGUCGGGGACAACCACUGGAAACGGUGGCUAAUACCGGAUAAGCCGAUUGGUGAAAGAUUUAUUGCCCGAAGAGGAGCUCGCGUCUGAUUAGCUAGUUGGUGAGGUAAGAGCUCACCAAGGCAGCGAUCAGUAGCUGGUCUGAGAGGACGAUCAGCCACACUGGGACUGAGACACGGCCCAGACUCCUACGGGAGGCAGCAGUGGGGAAUUUUCCGCAAUGGGCGAAAGCCUGACGGAGCAAGACCGCGUGAGGGAGGAAGGCUCUUGGGUUGUAAACCUCUUUUCUCAGGGAAGAAGCUCUGACGGUACCUGAGGAAUCAGCCUCGGCUAACUCCGUGCCAGCAGCCGCGGUAAUACGGAGGAGGCAAGCGUUAUCCGGAAUUAUUGGGCGUAAAGCGUCCGCAGGUGGCGAUUCAAGUCUGCUGUCAAAGCACGGGGCUUAACUCCGUAAAGGCGGUGGAAACUGAAUAGCUAGAGUGCCGUAGGGGUAGAGGGAAUUCCCGGUGUAGCGGUGAAAUGCGUAGAGAUCGGGAAGAACAUCGGUGGCGAAAGCGCUCUACUGGACGGCAACUGACACUCAGGGACGAAAGCUAGGGGAGCGAAUGGGAUUAGAUACCCC
rnacentral:rRNA from 1 species